AUAGAUACCCUGGUAGUCCACGCCGUAAACGAUGAGUGCUAAGUGUUGGGGGGUUUCCGCCCCUCAGUGCUGCAGCUAACGCAUUAAGCACUCCGCCCGGGGAGUACGGUCGCAAGACUGAAACUCAAAGGAAUUGACGGGGGCCCGCACAAGCGGUGGAGCAUGUGGUUUAAUUCGAAGCAACGCGAAGAACCUUACCAGGUCUUGACAUCCCAGUGACCACUAUGGAGACAUAGUUUCCCCUUCGGGGGGCAACGGGUGACAGGUGGUGCAUGGUUGUCGUCAGCUCGUGUCGUGAGAUGUUGGGUUAAGUCCCGCAACGAGCGCAACCCUUAUUCUUAGUUGCCAUCAUUCAGUUGGGCACUCUAAGGGAGACUGCCGGUGAUAAACCGGAGGAAGGUGGGGAUGGACGUCAAAUCAUCAUGCCCCUUAUGACCUGGGCUACACACGUGCUACAAUGGACGGUACAAACGGUUGCCAACCCGGCAGGGGGGAGCUAAUCCGAUAAAACCGUUCUACAGUUCGGAUUGUAGGCUGCAACUCG
rnacentral:rRNA from 1 species